rnacentral:rRNA from 1 species
AGUGAACGCUGGCGGCAGGCCUAACACAUGCAAGUCGAGCGGAUGAAGGGAGCUUGCUCCUGGAUUCAGCGGCGGACGGGUGAGUAAUGCCUAGGAAUCUGCCUGGUAGUGUGGGAUAACGUCCGGAAACGGGCGCUAAUACCGCAUACGUCCUGAGGGAGAAAGUGGGGGAUCUUCGGACCUCACGCUCUCAGAUGAUCCUAGGUCGGAUUAGCUAGUUGGUGGGGUAAAGGCCUACCAAGGCGACGAUCCGUAACUGGUCUGAGAGGAUGAUCAGUCACACUGGAACUGAGACACGGUCCAGACUCCUACGAGAGGCAGCAGUGGGGAAUAUUGGACAAUGGGCGAAAGCCUGAUCCAGCCAUGCCGCGUGUGUGAAGAAGGUCUUCGGAUUGUAAAGCCCUUUAAGUUGGGAGGAAGGGCAGUAAGUUAAUACCUUGCUGUUUUGACGUUACCAACAGAAUAAGCACCGGCUAACUUCGUG